CCCGGGACUGGGUAUAAUACCCGAUAGGUCUCGAUUGCUGGAAUGCAUCGAGAUUUAAAGCUCCGGCGCCUAAGGAUGGGUCUGCGGCCUAUCAGGUAGUAGUGGGUGUAGCGUACCUACUAGCCUACGACGGGUACGGGUUGUGAGAGCAAGAGCCCGGAGAUGGAUUCUGAGACACGAAUCCAGGCCCUACGGGGUGCAGCAGGCGCGAAAACUUUACAAUGCUGGCAACAGCGAUAAGGGAACCUCGAGUGCCAGGUUACAAAUCUGGCUGUCGAGAUGCCUAAAAAGCAUUUCAUAGCAAGGGCCGGGCAAGACCGGUGCCAGCCGCCGCGGUAACACCGGCGGCUCGAGUGGUAACCGUUAUUAUUGGGUCUAAAGGGUCUGUAGCCGGCCGGAUAAGUCUCUUGAGAAAUCUGGCAGCUUAACUGUCAGGCUUUCAU
rnacentral:rRNA from 1 species